AUUGAACGCUGGCGGCAGGCCUAACACAUGCAAGUCGGACGGUAGCACAGAGGAGCUUGCUCCUCGGGUGACGAGUGGCGGACGGGUGAGUAAUGUCUGGGGAUCUGCCCGAUAGAGGGGGAUAACCACUGGAAACGGUGGCUAAUACCGCAUAACGUCGCAAGACCAAAGAGGGGGACCUUCGGGCCUCUCACUAUCGGAUGAACCCAGAUGGGAUUAGCUAGUAGGCGGGGUAACGGCCCACCUAGGCGACGAUCCCUAGCUGGGCUGAGAGGAUGACCAGCCACACUGGAACUGAGACACGGUCCAGACUCCUACGGGAGGCAGCGGUGGGGAAUAUUGCACAAUGGGCGCAAGCCUGAUGCAGCCAUGCCGCGUGUAUGAAGAAGGCCUUCGGGUUGUAAAGUACUUUCAGCGGGGAGGAAGGCGAUAAGGUUAAUAACCUUGUCGAUUGACGUUACCCGCAGAAGAAGCACCGGCUAACUCCGUGCCAGCCGCCGCAGUAA
rnacentral:rRNA from 1 species